GUGUUGUAUUAUGAGUGCAGAAGGCAUGUUUGUUUUUCGAGCUGUUGCCUUUUCCGUCAUCCUGUGCUGUCAGAGUUCCCAUAAUAUCAUUUUGUGUUUUGUGUUUUGCUUUAAAAGAAACCCAAACCUAUAAAGAAGAUAGAAAUAUGGCAAAGGAAACGUCUGGUCUUUUAAUGAAUGUAAUUGGGACUCUGUCAUCCCUAUCCUCAAAUGAACAACGUGACAGGGAGAAAGCCAAACUCGAGCGGGAAUUUAAACUUAGCGAUCAGAGAUUGGAAAAAUUGGUCUCCACACAUCACAGAGACUUGGCCAGUGUAAUGCAAAUUUACAGCAAAGUUUCAGUAAGCAUUAAUGAUGCCCGAACCCGAAUAGCUAUGGUGAAAGGCCAAUUGGCUGCUUGCAGAGGACUUCUACAUUGUAGAAGAGAUGAACUUAAGAAACUGUGGCUUGAGGGUGUGGAACAUAAGCAGGUGCUUCUCAUGCUGAAUCAAAUUGAAAAAUUAAAAGAAAUUCCUGACAAAAUUAAUGAAAAUAUAGCAAAGAAGAAUUAUAUAGCAGCUGCAGAGCUUGUGGUUGAAGCCCAAGAAAAUCUACAAGGUCCACUGCAAAAUGUUGAAGCUUUAAAGGAUGUUCGGAGUGAUCUUGCCACAAAACAAGAGCGAUUUUACAAAAUUCUUCUGGAAGACUUGAAUCACUAUAUCUACGUAAAAUCGUCCAUUGACGUACUGCAGUGGAAACGUGCUGCAACUUCUCAAGCUCCUUUUCAAAGAGCAUCAAGUGGACGCAAUUCCUCUGGCAGGACCUCUGGAAACUUAAUUUCGAAAAACGACGCACCAAAAGUAAAAUCACUGAUGCUAGAAGUUGUCGGAAGCAGUCAAGGUGCUCCAGAUGAGAAAAGUAACCAGUGUAUAUAUAACAUAGUUCAGUGUCUCUCGCUAGUAAAUAAGUUACCUGAAACACUAGAAAGUUUAAAAAAUGGAAUGGGAAUGGAAAUGACAUUGAUUACGAGAAAAACCGCUCAACAAAUUAGCGAGAUGUAUCCGCCUAAUAGCAAAAAUGUUUUGAAGGAACUGUUUGAGGCUGUAAUGGAGCAAAUGCGGAGGAUCGUGAAGGCUCACAUUGCCGUUCUCGAUAGCGUUAAGGCUCUACUGAAGGACCAGCAGUACAAUAACGAUGUUGUUAUGUACAACAUAGAGGAUGUAUGGUCCCAAGUACAAACUGUGAUUCAAGUUUUGUUGUCCCAAUAUUGGGAUAUUGGUAGUACCGCUUCAAAAAGCGGUAACUCGGGCAGUAGUUUCUCAUCAAAUUCUCAAUUGGGAGCAGCCGAUUUGAACGCAUACUUUUCCAGGAGACGACAGCCCAGACCACAGAAAACGACAUUAUUCCGUUUCGAAGGUUCUCUCCAUUCAAUCAGCUUGAAUGAGUCUAAUAGCGACUAUUCCAAGCAAGACCAACAUGGUCUGGAUGCGCAGGAUCGGAUUUUAAUUGUCGAACCUAACGCGCGUUUGGUGAUUGAAAUUUAUCAACCCUUAAUGACCUUUGUUCAAGAAAUAGAAACUGCGCUGGGGUGUAGCUCUCAAGGGACGCAUUGCGCGCUUCAUGUGUUUAUCACAGUAUUUACACGCGACGUUUUUCUCAGUCAAAUUCACAUCGAGAUGGGCACCGCCCUAGAUGAAGCCACGCGAAAACUGGAUAUGUGGAAGUCUGUAAAUCCCACUGAGUUGACACAAAAUACAAAAGCCACACGGCCUUUGCUUCAGAGCACCAUACAAGUUUACCGCUGUCUGAUGGAAAUCCGCCAACUAAUGGAAGCGCUUCCCCAAUUUGCCCAGCAUUUUCUCGGAAUGACCUGCAAUAUGCUACUGCGAUACAGCGAAACUUGUCAAGCGGCUUAUCGAGGUCUAGUUCAACCGGACUCGGAAGACAAAAGAGUAAUCAGUGCUACUUGGGCGAAAGAUGAAGACAUACAUCGAUUUCUGAGGUCUCUUCCGAGUUGGACGGCUUUGCAAACUGUACGAGCACAUCGGAACUCCGGAACGACCGAUUGUGAAACUUAUGAAGAUAGCCCAGAGGAAAUCAGGCAAAGAAGUGCCAAAGAAACGGAAAUACUAACAGGAAAUCUUGGUGACGCCAUUAUUCCACCCCAUGAGAUUCUCGCCGACCCUACGCAAUUGCGUAUAUUGGCAUUGCUACAAGAAUCUUUGGAGUGGUUUGCAGCACAUAUACAGGAAUUAGCGAAUAGCAUAACUCGCUCUGGCGCUUCUGAAUCCGUCCUAGCUCUUCCAGAGUCGAACGUUCAGACUUUACUGGAACUAGCGAAAGAUUUUGAAGACCUAGCCGACACCUGUCUAUUAGUUUUGCAUUUGGAAGUGCGCGUGCAUUGCUUUUAUCAUCUAGUGCCACUUGGAAGACAAUCGCAGUUUUGGCUGAAUGGCGACAAUCAAGAACCUGACCCUGAAAUUGGCCGACUCAGUCGCGAUUUGACUGCAAUCGACGAAUCCCUAUCAGCUUUCAUUCAGCCACGAAAACAUCGAUACAUAUUUGAGGGAGUUAGUCACCUUGUAUCCAGUAUCAUAAUGUCAUCGGUGCAGCAUAUCCGGCGGAUGAAUGAAAAUGGCGUCAAAAAGAUGUGUCGCAAUAUUUUCGCCUUGCAGCAAACGUUAACCAGCAUCACUUUGGCCCGCGAACCAGCGUUGGACCAUGCGCGCCAAUAUUUUGAGCUGCUUUGCGUAACGCCAGAGGUAAAGGACACUUUCUGCUUUUUUCGAGUGAAGCAAUUGGUUUCUAGUAGAUAAAACAAUAUUUUUGCAUUUACGUUUAUCAAAAAUUUAUAAUAUAUGAUUACUUACGUUAUGCUGCAUUAAUGAAGGAUUCCUCGUUCCUUCAAGGAAUGGAAGAAAUAUUAAAUGGUAUUCUGGAGCGCGGAUCUCAAUACACUGAAUUGGAGUAUAUUCAAGUACUUCAACUAUUGAACAGAAGUCGCCCCGGUACAGCUUCCAACGAAAUAACUCGUCAUCUCGAACGCCUGUCGGAGAUCCU
rnacentral:misc_RNA from 1 species